GACGAACGCUGGCGGUGUGCUUAACACAUGCAAGUCGAACGGUAAGGCCCUUUCGGGGGUCCACGAGUGGCGAACGGGUGAGUAACACGUGAGUAACCUGCCCUCAUCUCUGGGAUAACAGUCGGAAACGGUUGCUAAUACUGGAUAUGAGCUUGCAAGGCAUCUUGUGGGUUGGAAAGAUUUUUUUGGUUGGGGAUGGACUCGCGGCCUAUCAGCUUGUUGGUGAGGUAGUGGCUCACCAAGGCUUCGACGGGUAGCCGGCCUGAGAGGGCGACCGGCCACAUUGGGACUGAGAUACGGCCCAAACUCCUACGGGAGGCAGCAGUGGGGGAUAUUGCACAAUGGACGGAAGUCUGAUGCAGCAACGCCGCGUGCGGGAUGACGGCCUUCGGGUUGUAAACCGCUUUCAAUUGUGACGAAGCUUUUUGUGACGGUAGCAGUAGAAGAAGCACCGGCUAACUACGUG
rnacentral:rRNA from 1 species